rnacentral:rRNA from 1 species
AUGCAAGUCGAGCGGAAACGACACUAACAAUCCUUCGGGUGCGUUAAUGGGCGUCGAGCGGCGGACGGGUGAGUAAUGCCUAGGAAAUUGCCUUGAUGUGGGGGAUAACCAUUGGAAACGAUGGCUAAUACCGCAUAAUGCCUACGGGCCAAAGAGGGGGACCUUCGGGCCUCUCGCGUCAAGAUAUGCCUAGGUGGGAUUAGCUAGUUGGUGAGGUAAUGGCUCACCAAGGCGACGAUCCCUAGCUGGUCUGAGAGGAUGAUCAGCCACACUGGAACUGAGACACGGUCCAGACUCCUACGGGAGGCGGCAGUGGGGAAUAUUGCACAAUGGGCGAAAGCCUGAUGCAGCCAUGCCGCGUGUAUGAAGAAGGCCUUCGGGUUGUAAAGUACUUUCAGUUGUGAGGAAGGGGGUAGUGUUAAUAGCGCUAUCUCUUGACGUUAGCAACAGAAGAAGCACCGGCUAACUCCGUGCCAGCAGCCG